rnacentral:rRNA from 1 species
UACGAAGGGGGCUAGCGUUGCUCGGAAUCACUGGGCGUAAAGGGUGCGUAGGCGGGGUUUUAAGUCAGAGGUGAAAUCCUGGAGCUCAACUCCAGAACUGCCUUUGAUACUGAGAAUCUUGAGUUCGGGAGAGGUGAGUGGAACUGCGAGUGUAGAGGUGAAAUUCGUAGAUAUUCGCAAGAACACCAGUGGCGAAGGCGGCUCACUGGCCCGUUACUGACGCUGAGGCACGAAAGCGUGGGGAGCAAACAGG